rnacentral:rRNA from 1 species
GAUGAACGCUAGCGGGAGGCCUAACACAUGCAAGCCGAGCGGUAGAAUCUUUUCGGAGAUUUGAGAGCGGCGUACGGGUGAGGAACACGUGUGCAACCUGCCUUUAUCUGGGAGAUAGCCUUUCGAAAGGAAGAUUAAUAUCCCAUAAUAUAUUGAGUGGCAUCACUUAAUAUUGAAAGCUCCGGCGGAUAGCGAUGGGCACGCGCAAGAUUAGAUAGUUGGUGAGGUAACGGCUCACCAAGUCUACGAUCUUUAGGGGGCCUGAGAGGGUGAUCCCCCACACUGGUACUGAGACACGGACCAGACUUCUACGGGAGGCAGCAGUGAGGAAUAUUGGACAAUGGGUGCAAGCCUGAUCCAGCCAUCCCGCGUGAGGGAUUAAGGUCCUAUGGAUUGUAAACUUCUUUUAUACAGGGAUAAACCUCUCCUCGUGAGGAGAGCUGAAGGUACUGUAUGAAUAAGCACCGGCUAACUCCGUGCCAGCCGCCGCGGUAA